rnacentral:rRNA from 1 species
AAUGAACGCUGGCGGCGUGCCUAACACAUGCAAGUCGCACGAGAACGUUUCAGCUUGCUGAGACUAGUACAGUGGCGCACGGGUGAGUAACGCGUGGGUAAUCUACCUCCGAAUUGGGGAUAACAUUGCGAAAGCGGUGCUAAUACCGAAUAAUAUCCCCGGGACCCCGGUCUUGGUGAUCAAAGGUGGCCUCUACAUGUAAGCUACCGUUUGGAGAUGAGCACGCGUACCAUUAGCUAGUUGGUAGGGUAAUGGCCUACCAAGGCUUCGAUGGUUAGCUGGUCUGAGAGGAUGAUCAGCCACACUGGAACUGAUACACGGUCCAGACUCCUACGGGAGGCAGCAGUGAGGAAUUUUGCGCAAUGGGGGAAACCCUGACGCAGCAACGCUGCGUGAGUGAUGAAGGCCUUCGGGUCGUAAAGCUCUGUCAAGUGGGAAGAACCUGCUUCGUGAUAAUACCGCGAGGCACUGACGGUACCACUGAAGGAAGCACCGGCUAACUCCGUGCCAGCAGCCGCGGUAA